AUUGAACGCUGGCGGCAUGCUUUACACAUGCAAGUCGAACGGUAACAGGGAGCUUGCUCCGCUGACGAGUGGCGAACGGGUGAGUAAUGCGUCGGAACGUGCCGAGUAGUGGGGGAUAACGCAUCGAAAGGUGUGCUAAUACCGCAUACGUACUGAGGUAGAAAGUGGGGGACCUUCGGGCCGCACGCUUGUCGCGCGGCCUACGUCUGAUUAGCUAGUUGGUGAGGUAAAGGCUCACCAAGGCGACGAUCAGUAGCGGGUCUGAGAGGAUGAUCCGCCACACUGGGACUGAGACACGGCCCAGACUCCUACGGGAGGCAGCAGUGGGGAAUUUUGGACAAUGGGCGCAAGCCUGAUCCAGCCAUGCCGCGUGUCUGAAGAAGGCCUUCGGGUUGUAAAGGACUUUUGUCCGGGAGCAAAUGCUGGUGGCUAACAUCCACCGGAGCUGAGAGUACCGGAAGAAUAAGCACCGGCUAACUACGUGCCAGCCGCCGCCGUAACAC
rnacentral:rRNA from 1 species